rfam:Hymenobacter sp. PAMC 26554, complete genome.
GGGGAUGACCGGAAUUGACAGCUUGCGCAAGUCGCGGGUAAGCGUGCCGGGAGUUGAUGGAAGCUCUCCCGCCAAAAAAUCUAUCAAACAACAACUGGCGACUAUUCGUACGCCAUGGCUGCCUAGUUCAGAACUAAGCACUGCCAUCGUUCCGCUCGGGUAAGUUUUUACACCUGGGAGCACGGAGCGUCGUAAGUAGAAACUAGCCGCCGAAGAGCCGUGAUUCGGCGGCGAAACCCAACUGCGGAUAAGGGAAUUUCAAGGGCCUGAUGUGCGCCUGGAAUUCUUCGAAAAUCCAAGCAUAGAUACGCACGUAGAAAGCACGUUGGCUUCCUUGUCUGGACCAGGGUUCGAAUCCCUGCAUCUCCACCC